rnacentral:rRNA from 1 species
UACGGAGGGUGCAAGCGUUGCUCGGAAUUAUUGGGCGUAAAGGGUAGGUAGGUGGUCUCAUUUGUCUGGGGUGAAAUCCUUGAGCUUAACUCAAGAAGUGCCUCAGAAACGGUGAGACUAGAGUUCUGGAGAGGGUCGUGGAAUUCCCGGUGUAGCGGUGAAAUGCGUAGAGAUCGGGAGGAACACCAGAGGCGAAGGCGGCGACCUGGACAGAUACUGACACUCAACUACGAAAGCGUGGGGAGCAAACAGG